AUAGGAAUGGCAACAAAUUCUCUCAAGUCUGUCUUGGUCACUUUCUUUAUCUUUGCCUUCGUAUUGUCGCCGAUGAUGCCUAGCGAAGCAGCUCGGUUUAAUCAUCGAGACCUCCACCGACGAACCCAUUUUUUGCCCGGCUUGUGUGUGUUGCUCGCCUAAACCACCGCCACCGAGCGUGUGUUGUGAAUGCUGCCGUACUCCGGUACCCGACACUGUUCAUCCAUGAAGGCUGCUUAAUUUAUGUUAAAUGUGAAAGCCUUAACAUGAAUUCUUAUUACUAUAAAUAAAAGAAUGAUUAUAUAUUACGAAUAAGCUUGAGGAGUGCUUCUCCUUUAAUAAUAAGUAACUAUGUAUUCCAGAAAUAAAAUAUUCUAUUUAUAAAAAUUCUAGUUGUGGGUAUAAAUUUAAACUA